AAAUUGAAGAGUUUGAUCAUGGCUCAGAUUGAACGCUGGCGGCAGGCCUAACACAUGCAAGUCGAACGGUAACAGAAAUCAGCUUGCUGCUUUGCUGACGAGUGGCGGACGGGUGAGUAAUGUCUGGGAAACUGCCUGAUGGAGGGGGAUAACUACUGGAAACGGUAGCUAAUACCGCAUAACGUCGCAAGACCAAAGAGGGGGACCUUCGGGCCUC
rnacentral:rRNA from 1 species